CAAUUUAAAGCUUAAAUAGUAAAGUUUUUCAUUUACAUUGAAAAGAAAUUCGUGC
rnacentral:tRNA from 1 species